AAAGGAAUAGACGGGGGCCCGCACAAGCGGUGGAGCAUGUGGUUUAAUUCGAUGCAACGCGAAGAACCUUACCUACUCUUGACAUCCUGCGGAUCUAGCUGAGAGGCUGGAGUGCCGAAAGGAGCGCAGAGACAGGUGCUGCAUGGCUGUCGUCAGCUCGUGUUGUGAGAUGUUGGGUUAAGUCCCGUAACGAGCGCAACCCUUAUCCUUAGUUACCAGCGAGUAAAGUCGGGGACUCUAAGGAGACUGCCGGUGAUGAAUCGGAGGAAGGUGGGGACGACGUCAAGUCAUCAUGGCCUUUAUGAGUAGGGCUACACACGUGCUACAAUGGGGCGUACAGAGGGUAGCCAACCCGCGAGGGGGAGCCAAUCCCGUAAAGCGUCUCGUAGUCCGGAUUGGAGUCUGCAACUCGACUCCAUGAAGUUGGAAUCGCUAGUAAUCGCGGAUCAGCAUUGCCGCGGUGAAUACGUUCCCGGGCCUUGUACACACCGCCCGU
rnacentral:rRNA from 1 species